AGCAGUAGCCACGGUAAUACGAAGGGUGCAAGCGUUAAUCGGAAUUACUGGGCGUAAAGCGUGCGUAGGCGGUGAGUUAAGUCUGCUGUGAAAUCCCCGGGCUCAACCUGGGAAUGGCAGUGGAUACUGGCUCGCUAGAGUGUGUCAGAGGAUGGUGGAAUUCCCGGUGUAGCGGUGAAAUGCGUAGAGAUCGGGAGGAACAUCAGUGGCGAAGGCGGCCAUCUGGGACAACACUGACGCUGAGGCACGAAAGCGUGGGGAGCAACCAGGAUUAGAUACCCCGGUAGUCCCUGUCUCUUAUAA
rnacentral:rRNA from 1 species